UGAAGUGUAAACUCCUCCAUGGGGAUGUC
rnacentral:piRNA from 1 species